GCUUUAUGUAAGAUUAGACUAGGGACAGGCCUAGACAAGUCUCAGACACUUCACCCAUGAGAUAGAAAGUAUUUGCUGCAGUAUCUUUUGUGCACUUUUCUAGCCCCAACCUUCAGGAUCUUGAAGGUUGUAAUCUGAUUGGCUCUCUGCACUUUUAUGUAUACCUUUCCUUACUUCUUUCAUUAUAGUGCUGCUCAAAAAAGACUAUGAUUUCCUCAAAAGCUCCUUCAGACCCUACAAGGACAGUGUGUUUGAUGACAACUGUUUGAAGACUGAAGAGGAGCAGAAAAGAUGCCUGAAGAAGCAACUCUUGUGGUGUGAGUCCAGGCUCCUUGCCAUAGGGCACUAUCUAAAGAGUGUGGUGAGCUAGCAAUCUGCUAUGAAGGAGCAGCUGAAUCAGAGUAAGGCAGAGAGAGAGACACAAAGAAUGGCUUUUCAGUCAGAGACUGCAGAACUUCAUGCCAAUUUUGAAGCUGAGGUUGAGGGCUUGAAGACACAGCUGAAAGAGAAAGACGUGACUAUCAGCUUGCUGAGAGCAGCUCUGCAUCAGAUUCAGGAGGAGCUUAACAUUCUGAUCUGCCGUCUCUCUGAGCUGGGAAAAGGGCUUUAACAGAACCACCAGAUGCAUCAACAAAGAAUUAUUAAGUGCCCCUCACAAUUACACACAGUUUCACUUUAACACUUGCACAGUAUAUUACACUUCAGUCCUUAUGUGGAAAUAUCAAUGCAACAUGCAAAUACCAAUGUGGUGCUGUGAGCUGAAUAUAAAAUGACUGAAGACAAGCUAGUUUUAUUCCUUUAACAAUCCAACACAGUUAUGGAGGAACAUGGAUACAGGGCUUAAUGACCAACUGAGUUUAUAUGCAUGUGACAACACCUUUAAUUGAGACUUAUGAAACAUGCUGCUGCUUUUU